rnacentral:tRNA from 1 species
GGGCCGUUAGCUCAGCUGGUAGAGCAGGAGACUCUUAAUCUCUUUGUCGUAGGUUCGAACCCUACACGGCCCA